rnacentral:lncRNA from 1 species
GGAAGAUUACCAUUAGUGCUGUUCACUGAUGCUCGUACAAGAGUUUGUGUGGAAGAAGUCAUGCAGUGCUUCAAGGGACUUCAGCAAAAUGUAUGUAUUCCAGCUGCCACAGAAGGAUUUACUGAAGCUGAAUGGUUGGAGAUUCAGAAUAGAUAGAAAGAAACACUUCUUCAUAAAACCGCUAUAGUUAAAUUCACUUCUACAAGGUGUUCUCAUGGCUGCCAGCUUCAUUGACUUCAAAUGGGGAUUACAAGCAGAUAAGGCUGUGUAAGGUGUGUAUUACCUCCAGUGUCAGAGGCAAUAUACCUUUAAAUCCCAGUUGCUGGGGAAAGGAAGUACCAUUCCACUCAUGUCCCAAUUUUGGUUCCCCAUAGUAGGCAGCUGUUGGACCAUUGUGUGAACUAAAUGCUGGACAAGACAAGACUCCUUUGCCAUGCUGACUGAGAGAGUGCGGAGUUUGUACUCUGAAAAAGAAACUUUCUCUGGAUGGAAUGUAAAAAUUUCAGAUUUUGUUGCCCUUGGAAUCUUAGAAUCUUGGAAUCCUAGAACUGCAGAGCUGAAAGUGACCCGGUGGAUCAUCAAGGCCAGCCCCUGCCAAGAAGUCACAGUGGGGAAUCGAACUCUCAAUCUCUGUCUCUGUGACCAGAGACCUAAACAACUGAACUAUCCAGCCAUUAUUCUGGCUAACUAA